UGUAAGCGUAUACCAAAGUUGUUGCAGUUAAAACGCUCGUAGUCGGAAUUUGGCAGCUCCGGAUGUGUGCACGUCGUGUGCGCACUUCGCGGGGAUUGCUUUUGUGGUCUUGCGUAGGAUGAGGCACUUCUAUUAGUGAACGUCCUCACGCAACCACUUUUUACUGUGAGAAAAUCAGAGUGCUCAAAGCAGGCAUUUGCCGUGAAUGUAUUAGCAUGGAAUAAUAGAAUAGGACUUGGUUCUAUUUUGUUGGUUUGUUGGGACUGAGUAAUGAUUAAGAGGGACAGUUGGGGGCAUUUGUAUUUCGGUGCUAGAGGUGAAAUUCUUAGAUUACCGAAAGACAAACUGCUGCGAAAGCGUCUGCCAAGGAUGUUUUCAUUGA
rnacentral:rRNA from 1 species